rfam:Perkinsus marinus ATCC 50983 gcontig_1104296693174, whole genome shotgun sequence.
GCUACUUUAGCUUAGUGGUAGAGCGUCUGCUUCGUAAACUGAAGGUCGUCAGUUCAACCCUGGCAACGGGCU